ACUCAAAGGAAUUGACGGGGGCUCACACAAGCGGAGGAGCAUGUUGUUCAAUUCGAAGCAACGCGAAGAACCUUACCUGGGUUUGACAUGCGCGAAGUAGGAACCCGAAAGGGCAACGAUCCGGGCAACCGGAAAACGUGCACAGGUGCUGCAUGGCUGUCGUCAGCUCGUGUCGUGAGACGUUAGGUUAAGUCCUGUAACGAGCGAAACCCUUGUCGUCUGUUGCUACCGGGUCAUGCCGGGCACUCUGACGAGACUGCCAGUGUUAAGCUGGAGGAAGGUGGGGACGACGUCAAGUCAUCAUGGUCCUUACACCCAGGGCUACAAACGUGCUACAAUGGCCGGUACAGAGAGUCGCAAAGUCGCGAGGCAGAGCAAAUCUUCAAAACCGGCCCCAGUUCAGAUUGGAGGCUGAAAUUCGCCUCCAUGAAGUCGGAUUCGCUAGUAAUCGCGGAUCAGCUACGCCGCGGUGAAUACCGUUCCUGAGCCUUGUACACACCGCCCGU
rnacentral:rRNA from 1 species